AUGGGAGAUGAGACUACUGGGAAGAAGUUACCUGCAACUACAGCAACUCCAGACUCGUCGGAAAUGGAAAUAGACAGCAGGACAAAAAGCAAGGAUUACUGCAAAGUAAUAUUUCCAUAUGAGGCACAGAAUGAUGAUGAACUGACAAUCAAAGAAGGAGAUAUGGUCACUCUCAUCAAUAAGGACUGCGUUGACGUUGGCUGGUGGGAAGGAGAGCUGAACGGCAGACGAGGCGUGGUCCCCGAUAACUUCGUGAAGUUACUUCCACCAGACUUUGAAAACGAGGGGAAUAGACCCAAGAAGCCACCACCUCCAUCUGCUCCUGUCAUCACACAAGGGGCAGGUACCACUGAGAGCAAACAUGAACUUAAAAAGAUACCUCCUGAAAGACCAGAAAUGCUUCCCAACAGAACAGAAGAAAAAGAAAGACCAGAGAGAGAGAGCCACAACUGGAUUUACAGAAGCCCUCCGUUCCUGCCAUACCACCAAAAAAGCCUCGGCCACCUAAGACAAAUUCUCUGAGCAGACCUGGUGCACUGCCCCCAAGAAGGCCAGAUCGACCGGUGGGUCCACUGACGCACACCAGGGGUGACGGUCCAAAGAUUGACUUGGUGGGCAGUUCGCUUUCUGGCAUCCUGGACAAAGAUCUCUCAGACCACAGCGAUGACAUCGACCUAGAAAGUUUUGACUCCGUGGUGUCAUCUACUGAGAAACUCAGUCAUCCGACCACAAGCAGACCAACAGCUACGCGGAGGCGGCCUCCAUCCCAGUCCCUCACCUCUCCAUCCCUUUCAAGCCCUGAUAUCUUCGACUCCCCAAGUCCCGAAGAGGAUAAGGAGGGACACAUUUCACUUGCGCACAGAGGAGUGGACGCGUCAAAGAAAACUUCCAAGACUGUUACCAUAUCCCAAGUGUCUGACAACAAAGCAUCCCUGCCACCCAAGCCGGGAACCAUGGCAGCAGGCGGUGGGGGGUCAGCCCCUUUGUCCUUGGCGGCACCCUCCCCCCGUCAUCCAAUUUGGGAACAGCUGGACACAGAGCCAACUCCCCGUCUCUGUCCAGCAUGGAAGGAAAACCAAAGAUGGAGCCUGUGGCCAGCAGCCAGGUGGCUGUGGGGGAGCUAAGGACACAGGUCUGCGAGCUGAGGAGCAUCAUCGAGAACAUGAAGGACCAGCAGAAACGAGAGAUUAAACAGCUAUUGUCUGAGUUGGAUGAAGAGAAGAAAAUCCGGCUUCGGUUGCAGAUGGAAGUGAAUGACAUAAAGAAAGCUCUACAAUCAAAAUGAAUACUUGACCAAUGCAAUGUCACAUUAUUCAUCCUGAGUCUGAGGCUCAAAUUUUCUGCCCCAGCCAAAAUAAUCUUGUGCCAAAAGAUUAAAGGUUUGCCUCAACAUGUCACUGUUUGAAAGAUUAGCACAAAAGUCUUGAUAGCACAACACAAAUUCCAUCCAAGAGGAGAAUCUUUCCCAGGGUUUAGUCCUGGGCUGGCACUUGUGACUUACACAGAGCAAAAUUGUGCUAAAGGCUUUUCUACUCUGAGAUCUCAAUGCGAAAUGAAAACUCAGGCAGUUUAGUCCAUAGUGGUGCUUUUUUGAUGAUAUUUUCCAUUAAUAAAAUGUAAUUUCUGAUUAUUCGUUUACAAGCUUUAUAAUUUUAUGAUUUUUUAAUUGUGUUUUAUCACGGAAUCCCCUAGUGUUUGUACUACACGUAGUCAGAAGCAAGUGUCCUUUUCUUUUGCUUCAGGCUGAGAGCUGCUUGCUCUUUGUCCCCCCAUUAGGAUUCUAUUACAUAUUCAAUUUUAGGUUCAAGCUGUCCCUUCCCCUGCCAGCCAGCCCCACUGCCCUAAGAGAAAUUUUAGCUUAUAUGAGAUGGUAUAUUUACAAAAAGAGAAAGAGAAAAUCUGGUAUUUGCAAUGAUCUGUGCCUUCUUUUCACCACCCUCUUGAUUGGAGCUUUUGUGAUGCAGCUACCAUGAUUCAAAAAAAUUUAAAAAUAAAAAUUAAAAAAAAAAAAA